rnacentral:rRNA from 1 species
CCUACGGGUGGCAGCAGUGGGGGAUAUUGCACAAUGGGGGAAACCCUGAUGCAGCGACGCCGCGUGAGUGAAGAAGUUUUUCGGUAUGUAAAGCUCUAUCUGCAGGGAAGCAAAUUACAGUACCUGACCAAGACGCCCCGGCUAAUUACGUGCCAGCAGCCGCGGCAAUACGUAGGGGGCAAGCGUUAUCCGGAUUUACUGGGUGUAAAGGGAGCGUAGGCGGUUAUGUAAGUCUGGAGUGAAACCCCGGGGGCCAACCCCGGGACCGCUGUGGAAACCGUGUAACUGGAGUGGAGGAGGGGCAGGCGGAAUGCGUGGUGUAGCGGUGAAAUGCGUAGAUAUCAGGAAGAACACCGGCGGCGAAGGCGGCCUGCUGGACGGGAUCUGACGUUGAGGCUCGAAAGCGUGGGGAGCGAACAGGAUUAGAUACCCCUGUAGUC